rnacentral:rRNA from 1 species
AUACGGAGGAUGCGAGCGUUAUCCGGAUUUAUUGGGUUUAAAGGGAGCGUAGGCGGACUAUUAAGUCAGCUGUGAAAGUUUGCGGCUCAACCGUAAAAUUGCAGUUGAUACUGGUCGUCUUGAGUGCAGUAGAGGUAGGCGGAAUUCGUGGGGUAGCGGUGAAAUGCUUAGAUAUCACGAAGAACUCCGAUUGCGAAGGCAGCUUACUGGACUGUAACUGACGCUGAUGCUCGAAAGUGUGGGUAUCAAACAGGAUUAGAUACCCUGGUAGUCCACACAGUAAACGAUGAAUACUCGCUGUUUGCGAUAUACGGCAAGCGGCCAAGCGAAAGCAUUAAGUAUUCCACCUGGGGAGUACGCCGGAAACGGUGAAACUAAAAUGAAUUGACGGG